rnacentral:rRNA from 1 species
AUUGAACGCUGGCGGCAGGCCUAACACAUGCAAGUCGAGCGGAUGAAGGGAGCUUGCUCCUGGAUUCAGCGGCGGACGGGUGAGUAAUGCCUAGGAAUCUGCCUGGUAGUGGGGAUAACGUCCGGAAACGGGCGCUAAUACCGCCUACGUCCUGGGGGAGGAAGGGGGGGGUCUUCGGACCUCACGCUAUCCGGUGAACCUAGGUCGGAUUAGCUAGUUGGUGGGGUAAAGGCCUACCAAGGCGACGAUCCGUAACUGGUCUGAGAGGAUGAUCAGUCACACUGGAACUGAGACACGGUCCAGACUCCUACGGGAGGCAGCAGUGGGGAAUAUUGGACAAUGGGCGAAAGCCUGAUCCAGCCAUGCCGCGUGUGUGAAGAAGGUCUUCGGAUUGUAAAGCACUUUAAGUUGGGAGGAAGGGCAGUAAGUUAAUACCUUGCUGUUUUGACGUUACCAACAGAAUAAGCACCGGCUAACUUCGUG